rnacentral:tRNA from 1 species
GCCUGAGUGGCUCAGUGGUUGAGCAUCUGCCUUUGGCUCAGGACGUGAUCCCAGUCAUGGGAUCGAUUCCCACAUUGGGCU